rnacentral:rRNA from 1 species
GCAGUUACCUGCAUGCCUAUAAUAGCAGUCGAGCGCAGGAACCAGAUGACCCCUUCGGGGUGAUUCUGGUGGAAUGAGCGGCGGACGGGUGAGUAACACGUGGGCAACCUGCCUGUAAGACUGGGAUAACUUCGGGAAACCGGAGCUAAUACCGGAUAGUAUUUCCUUUCUCCUGAUUGGAAAUGGAAAGACGGUUUCGGCUGUCACUUACAGAUGGGCCCGCGGUGCAUUAGCUAGUUGGUGGGGUAAUGGCCCACCAAGGCGACGAUGCAUAGCCGACCUGAGAGGGUGAUCGGCCACACUGGGACUGAGACACGGCCCAGACUCCUACGGGAGGCAGCAGUAGGGAAUCUUCCGCAAUGGACGAAAGUCUGACGGAGCAACGCCGCGUGAGCGAUGAAGGCCUUCGGGUCGUAAAGCUCUGUUGUUAGGGAAGAACAAGUACGAGAGUAACUGCUCGUACCUUGACGGUACCUAACCAGAAAGCCCCGGCUAACUACGUGCCAGCAGCCGCGGUAAUACGUAGGGGGCAAGCGUUGUCCGGAAUUAUUGGGCGUAAAGGGCUCGUAGGCGGUUUCUUAAGUCUGAUGUGAAAGCCCACAGCUCAACUGUGGAGGGUCAUUGGAAACUGGGGAACUUGAGUGCAGAAGAGGAGAGUGGAAUUCCACGUGUAGCGGUGAAAUGCGUAGAUAUGUGGAGGAACACCAGUGGCGAAGGCGACUCUCUGGUCUGUAACUGACGCUGAGGAGCGAAAGCGUGGGGAGCAAACAGGAUUAGAUACCCUGGUAGUCCACGCCGUAAACGAUGAGUGCUAGGUGUUAGGGGGUUUCCGCCCCUUAGUGCUGAAGUUAACGCAUUAAGCACUCCGCCUGGGGAGUACGGCCGCAAGGCUGAAACUCAAAAGAAUUGACGGGGGCCCGCACAAGCCGUUGGAGCAUGUGGUUUUAAUUCGAAAGCAACGCGGAAGAACCCUUACCAGGGUCUUUGACAUCCGCCUGAACGAUCUUUGGAAGACUAGGACCUUUCCCCUUCGGGGGACAGGCGGUGACCACGUGGCUGCGUGGGGUUGUCCGCCAACCUCCCUAGUCCUUAGAAAGAGUUGGGGAUUGAAUUUCCCUGCCACGACAUGCGCACCUUCUCGUUGCCAGCAUUAAGUUGGGCACUCUAGAGUGACUGCCGGUGACAAACCGGAGGAAGGUGGGGAUGACGUCAAAUCAUCAUGCCCCUUAUGACCUGGGCUACACACGUGCUACAAUGGAUGGUACAAAGGGCAGCAAAGUCGCGAGGCUAAGCAAAUCCCAUAAAACCAUUCUCAGUUCGGAUUGCAGGCUGCAACUCGCCUGCAUGAAGCCGGAAUCGCUAGUAAUCGCGGAUCAGCAUGCCGCGGUGAAUACGUUCCCGGGCCUUGUACACACCGCCCGUCACACCACGAGAGUUGGUAACACCCGAAGUCGGUGAGGUAACCUCUUAGGAGCUAGCUGCGCGUCAGUACAAUUGUUGACCGG